UACAGAGGUCUCAAGCGUUGUUCGGAUUCAUUGGGCGUAAAGGGCGCGUAGGCUGCGGGGCAAGUCGGGUGUGAAAUUUCGGAGCUUAACUCCGAAACUGCAUUCGAUACUGGCGUGCUUGAGGACUGGAGAGGAGACUGGAAUUCAUGGUGUAGCAGUGAAAUGCGUAGAGAUCAUGAGGAAGACCAGUGGCGAAGGCGGGUCUCUGGACAGUUCCUGACACUGAGACACGAAGGCUAGGGGAGCAAACGGG
rnacentral:rRNA from 1 species